GACAGCUAGGAUGUUGGCUUGGAAGCAGCCAUUCAUUUAAAGAGUGCGUAACAGCUCACUAGUCGAGUGCUUUGGCGUGGAUAAUAAUCGGGCAUAAGCUAUUUACCGAAGCUGUGGGAUGUGUAAACAUCGGUAGGGGAGCAUUCUAGCGACGCUGAAGGUGAGAGGACAACUCUUGCUGGAGUUUCUAGAAAAGCAAAUGUAGGUAUAAGUAACGAUAAAGGAGGUGAGAAACCUCCUCGCCGAAAGACUAAGGUUUCCUGAUCAACGCUAAUCGGAUCAGGGUUAGUCGGGGCCUAAGGGGAAGCCGAACGGCGUACCCGAUGGAAGAACCGGUUAAUAUUCCGGUACUAAUUAUGUGAGCGAUGUGGAGACGGAGAUGUGACGGUCCUGCCAACUGACGGAAUAGUUGGUUGAAGGGUGUAGGAGUUGAUCUGAGUAGGCAAAUCCGCUCGGAGAUCCGAACCUGACAGUACUCUGAGUGCUUGCACAAGGAGAUAUGGACAACUGUAACGGUGCUCCCAAGAAAAUCCGCUAAGCAUAUUGCAUGAUUACCCGUACCAUAAACCGACACAGGUGGUUGGGUUGAGUAUACUAAGGCGCUCGAGUGAUUCGCGGUUAAGGAACUAGGCAAAAUAGUCCUGUAACUUCGGAAUAAAGGACGCUCACAGUGAAGGCUGUGAGCCGCAGAGAAUAGGCCCAGGCGACUGUUUAACAAAAACACAUGGCUAUGCUAAAUCGAAAGAUACUGUAUAUAGCCUGACACCUGCCCGGUGCUGGAAGGUUAAGAGGAGAUGUCAUCGCAAGAGAAGCAUUGAAUUGAAGCCCCAGUAAACGGCGGCCGUAACUAUAACGGUCCUAAGGUAGCGAAAUUCCUUGUCGGGUAAGUUCCGACCUGCACGAAUGGUGUAACGAUCUGGGUACUGUCUCAACCGCGAGCUCGGUGAAAUUGUAGUAUCGGUGAAGAUGCCGAUUACCCGCAACGGGACGAAAAGACCCCGUGAACCUUUACUAUAGCUUUGCAUUGGAUUUGGGUAACAAAUGUGUAGGAUAGGCCGGAGACUAUGAAGCGGGUACGCCAGUAUUCGUGGAGUCGCCGUUGAAAUACGGCCCUUUUGUUAUUUGGGUUCUAACUCGCGGAUGCGAGGACAUUGCAUGGUGGGUAGUUUGACUGGGGUGGUCGCCUCCAAAAGUGUAACGGAGGCUUCUAAAGGUACCCUCAGACCGAUUGGUAACCGGUCGUAGAGUGUAAUGGCACAAGGGUGCUUGACUGGGAGACUAACAAGUCGCACAGGUAGGAAACUAGAGCAUAGUGAUCCGGUGGUUCCGUAUGGAAGGGCCAUCGCUCAAAGGAUAAA
rnacentral:rRNA from 1 species